AGAACAAAUAGGAAAAGUAGAAAAAGGGAAAAAACGCAGGAACAAGCAUUUCAUCUCUCUUUGCAAAUCAUCAUCAACCACCACUGCACACCACCAGCCGCUCCCCCUCCGCUACCUUCAUCUCUGUCGACAGCCGCACGCAACCUCCACUCCAUCGUCGUUCUCUCUCUCUCUCUCAUGGUUUCAUUGUGAUAUGUUCUGUGAUCCACUAGAUCUGAUAUGUUCUUGGAUUGAAGCUUUUCUUUUUCUAGUGGGUUUUGAGAUUUGAGAUUUGAACUUUAUUUNNNNNNNNNNNNNNNNUUUUUUUACUGGAUUUUUUCUUCCCUAACUGUUUUAUUUUUCUUCUUUCUUUUCUGGAUUUCUGGACAUGUAUUUGUUUAAUUUAUGUGGUUUUGGAUUUUAAUUUUCUGGGUUGAAGUGUCUAUUUUGAGUUUGUUUAAAGAUUUCGAAUUUUUUUGUUGAAGUUUAUGUAAAUGUUCAUGAAGAUGAAUAACAAAUGAAGGAGAAGAUGAAGAAGGAAAACAAAAUUCAAUGUUGGUGGUACACCAUUAGUAACAGUGGACCCGUGGAAAACUAACAUUUUUUUGAAAAAAUUAACGGAAAUGACCAAAAUAACUAACAGAAAAAUCUUUAAGGGACCAAUUUGGACAUUUUUUUCUUUAAGGGACCAUUGUGAAACCUAAAAUGUCUUUAAGGGACCAUUUAAGUAAUUAAGCC
rnacentral:lncRNA from 1 species